AUGAUUUGAAAGCACAGGAACGACUGCAUCUUGAAUGACGAGCGCCCUUCAGUUCACGCCCUAGUUGGUAGAAUCAAGGAAGAGGCCAGACUUUGGGAUACGGUAGGCGCCGUUGGGCUUAGAGUAGUCUUGCCCUCAACCUGGGACGUGCGUACCUGUUCAAUGCCUGUAACUCUGCCUCCUAGCCUCCUACGAGGGUUGUAA
rnacentral:rRNA from 1 species